rnacentral:tRNA from 1 species
GGGCCUGUAGCUCAGGCGGUUAGAGCGCACCCCUGAUAAGGGUGAGGUCGGUGGUUCAAGUCCACCCAGGCCCA